GAGAUGCGAUAAGUAGUGUGAAUUGCAGAAUUCAGUGAAUCAUCGAAUCUUUGAACGCACAUUGCGCCCUUUGGUAUUCCUUAGGGCAUGCCUGUUCGAGCGUCAUUUGUAACCUCAAGCUCAGCUUGGUGUUGGGUGUCUGUCCCCGCCCCGCGCGGGGACUCGCCUCAAAAACAUUGGCGGCCGGUACGUUGGCUUCGAGCGCAGCAGAAACGCGAACUCGAGGCCCGACGGAUCGGCGACCAGAAGUCACUUCUUCCACAGCUUGACCUCGGAUCAGGUAGGGAUACCCGCUGAACUUAAGC
rnacentral:misc_RNA from 1 species